GUCAAUUGUAUAUUGACGCAAGUCUUAUCAGUCAUACUGACUUUCAGCUAUUGUAACGCAGGACAACUAUUAAUCGAUGAGUCGGAAAAUCUCCAUCGUGACUUAUGUCAGUGUCCAUGGAUUUUAUGGAAUCAAUCGAACAAAGAGAACUACCAAAUAUUCUUAUUAAAUUCAAGAAAACCACUUGUUGUCAGUAGCUUGGGCGUGACUCUGAAUAAGAAUCUUAUAGUCCUUGUAUUGCAAAGAGCACUAUCCAUAAUAGCUUUUCUAGAGCAAGUGUCUACAAAACCCUGAAUACCUUCAUAUUAGCUGUAUUGAAUGUAGGAGAACUAUUACAAUUUUUAAACUUGUCAUCACCCCUCUGCACAAGUAUUGAGAUUUGAAUAAAAUAACCAC